UCACUCAGUGGACAUCCCAACUGGACAUCCCAACUGGACAUCCCAACUGUCAGUUUCUCUGAGACCCUGCCCUACAGACAGACUAGCACGAUGUCAUCUCAGAAG